AUAACUUCCAUAUUCAGUAACCUGCACAGAAAUUAACUCCCAUACUUAACAAAGAAAAAUAAUUAAGAGACAUUCAUAGCGAUAGUCAGAGAAAGAAUACAAUCGUCAUGCAAUUACGCUAAUGGUCUUUUUGUUCCAAUCUUAUAAACUCUUUCAAAUGUAGAAUAGAGGCUAAUGGUCGAAGAUAUAGACAUUGCACUAUAGUUAAAUAAUCUACGGUGAGUAUGAAGAUCUAUCUCCAAUAGGUAUUGACACUGUCAACUGCAAGAGCCUCCAAUUAAAACUUCAAGCAUAAGCUAUUCUUAACAUUGACUCUUAAACAGGGCAACGUUUCCCAAAUCAGUCUAUGCAUAAAUUAAAGAUAAUAUACUGUAGCAUUACAUGUGAAAACCACGAUAUUCCAACCAAUAAGUCACCUUAGAACUGACUGUAGCAGGCAAAAGGAUAAGAAUUCAGAUAUUAAGAUCACAAGACAAGAGGCAAAUGGGAGAGAGAGAGUGUGAGUGAGAGAUAGAGAGAGAGAGGGCGAGAGCUAUCUAUUGACUUGUAAAAUGUGGCUGGCCCCAUACCUCACAUGAUCAUUUAUAACGAAGUUGGUCCACUUCAAUAUCUAAAGGAAUUAUCUUCCUUAGAGUACCAACUACCAAGAAACAUGUCUCAAAGACUCAAACUAUGAAAUCUCAAAACCAUGAAAAACUUAAUGCUCAUACAGCCAAUAGUGACCAUGAAGACUCAUAUCUUAGGAAAAGCAUUCAAAGCAUUCAAUCAAUAUAAAACUAUUCGGAAGCAUUAUAAUAAUCUUGAAAAAAUGAAGUACCAAGCAAUUAAAAGUUACCUGAUAAUCAAGCUCAGAUGAG